CCUACGGGUGGCAGCAGUGAGGAAUAUUGGUCAAUGGGCGAGAGCCUGAACCAGCCAAGUCGCGUGAGGGAAGACGGUCCUAUGGAUUGUAAACCUCUUUUGCCGGGGAGCAAAAAGCGGUACGUGUACCGCAUCGAGAGUACCCGGAGAAAAAGCAUCGGCUAACUCCGUGCCAGCAGCCGCGGUAAUACGGAGGAUGCGAGCGUUAUCCGGAUUUAUUGGGUUUAAAGGGUGCGUAGGCGGGCUUUUAAGUCAGCGGUAAAAAUUCGGGGCUCAACCCCGUCCGACCGUUGAAACUGGGGGCCUUGAGUGGGCGAGAAGAAGGCGGAAUGCGUGGUGUAGCGGUGAAAUGCAUAGAUAUCACGCAGAACCCCGAUUGCGAAGGCAGCCUUCCGGCGCCCUACUGACGCUGAGGCACGAAAGUGCGGGGAUCGAACAGGAUUAGAUACCCUGGUAGUC
rnacentral:rRNA from 1 species